CCUACGGGUGGCAGCAGUGGGGAAUAUUGGACAAUGGGGGCAACCCUGAUCCAGCCAUGCCGCGUGUGUGAAGAAGGUCCUCGGGUUGUAAAGCACUUUCAGUGAGGAAGAACGCCUGGUGGUUAAUACCCAUCAGGAAAGACAUCACUCACAGAAGAAGCACCGGCUAACUCCGUGCCAGCAGCCGCGGUAAUACGGAGGGUGCGAGCGUUAAUCGGAAUUACUGGGCGUAAAGCGCGCGUAGGUGGCUUGAUAAGCCGGUUGUGAAAGCCCCGGGCUCAACCUGGGAACGGCAUCCGGAACUGUCAAGCUAGAGUGCAGGAGAGGAAGGUAGAAUUCCCGGUGUAGCGGUGAAAUGCGUAGAGAUCGGGAGGAAUACCAGUGGCGAAGGCGGCCUUCUGGACUGACACUGACACUGAGGUGCGAAAGCGUGGGUAGCAAACAGGAUUAGAUACCCCGGUAGUC
rnacentral:rRNA from 1 species